rnacentral:rRNA from 1 species
AGUGAGUUGGCGAACGGGUGAGUAACACGUGGGUAACCUGCCCAGAAGUAGGGGAUAACACCUGGAAACAGAUGCUAAUACCGUAUAACAGAGAAAACCGCAGGUUUUCUUUUAAAAGAUGGCUCUGCUAUCACUUCUGGAUGGACCCGCGGCGUAUUAGCUAGUUGGUGAGGUAAAGGCUCACCAAGGCAGUGAUACGUAGCCGACCUGAGAGGGUAAUCGGCCACAUUGGGACUGAGACACGGCCCAGACUCCUACGGGAGGCAGCAGUAGGGAAUCUUCCACAAUGGACGCAAGUCUGAUGGAGCAACGCCGCGUGAGUGAAGAAGGGUUUCGGCUCGUAAAGCUCUGUUGUUAAAGAAGAACGUGGGUAAGAGUAACUGUUUACCCAGUGACGGUAUUUAACCAGAAAGCCACGGCUAACUACGUGCCAGCAGCCGCGGUAAUACGUAGGUGGCAAGCGUUAUCCGGAUUUAUUGGGCGUAAAGCGAGCGCAGGCGGUCUUUUAAGUCUAAUGUGAAAGCCUUCGGCUCAACCGAAGAAGUGCAUUGGAAACUGGGAGACUUGAGUGCAGAAGAGGACAGUGGAACUCCAUGUGUAGCGGUGAAAUGCGUAGAUAUAUGGAAGAACACCAGUGGCGAAGGCGGCUGUCUGGUCUGCAACUGACGCUGAGGCUCGAAAGCAUGGGUAGCGAACAGGAUUAGAUACCCUGGUAGUCCAUGCCGUAAACGAUGAUUACUAAGUGUUGGAAGGGUUUCCGCCCCUUCAGUGCUGCAGCUAACGCAUUAAAGUAAUCCGCCCGGGGGAGUACGACCGCAAGGGUUGAAACUCAAAAAGAAUUGACGGGGGGCCCGCACAAGCGGUGGAAGCAUGGUGGUUUUAAUUCCAAAGCUACGCCAAGAAACCUUUACCAGGGUCUUGGACAUCUUUCUGACCGUUCUAAGAAAAUUAAAAGGUUUCCCUUUCGGGGGACAGAAAUGAACAGGUGGGUGGCAUUGGUUGUCCGUCAGCCUCCUUGUCCCGUGAAAAUGUUUGGGGUUUAAGUUCCCCGCAAACGAAGGCGCCAACCCCUUUAUUUACUAAGUUUGCCCAGCCAUUUAAAGUUUGGGGCCACUCCUAAUUGGAGAACUGGCCGGGUUGACCAAACCCCGGAAA